rnacentral:ribozyme from 2 species
UCAAUAACUCCUCCUGUAGCUCCUUCAGAGGCUACUGCCAGUCCCAAGCCUGGAUAAAGGAGAAGGGUUAG